rnacentral:lncRNA from 1 species
CAUUGCCAAAGCAAGUGAGGUAGAUUCUCUACCUUUUACUCAUUUCUCUCUCUCUACCUCUCUCUACCUCUCUUUCUCUCCCUCCCUCUCUCUCUACCUCUACCUCUCUCUCUACCUCUACCUCCCUCCCUACCUCUUCUACCUACCUCUACCUCUCUUUCUCUCAGUCCUUACAGAUUAUUUUGUCUCACUCACUUGUCUGUCUCCGUUUAUACUUCUCCUUUUUCCUUCUCUCUGUUACCUGUUUGUUUUUUUUAUCUGAGAAUAAUUUAUCACUCAUCUACAGCUCAAAUCGAACAGAGAUUCUCUCUUUUACUGUCACAUGUGAACAUUGCAUGUGACCUGUCAGUGUCUGUCAAGCAAUGGUUUAUCUAAGUACUUCAACGUGUAUAUGUUCCACCUUGUUUACUCAAAACCACACUAGCCUGUGCUGUCGCUAGUGGGCUUUAUGGAUCUCUACUAUCGUCUGGGCUUGAUGUGGCCAGCCGGUAAUACACUUGUGUCCCCCGGCGGCCGGUUCGUACAUAAACCGUCCUCCAUUCAGGCUGCAACGGCUUCGAUUUCCUCCUUAACUAGAUUUAAUGGUGUGAAGGCGAGAAAGAAACAGUGAAAAUAUGUGUACUUUCCUUAUGAAGCACAGUUUUUCACCACAAUACGAGAGUGGCUAAUGCCUAGGAAGGCCACUUCCUGAUUUUUGCACCCCGCGUUCAGCUAGAGGUACAGACUGCUGUAUAUGUGAGACGUUUGGGACUAGCGUUCCUAGUUCGGGAGGAAAUUGAAUCCUUUGCAGCCUGAAUGGAGGACGUUUUACGUACGAACCUGUUGCUGGGGGACAUCAGUAUAGUAAUCUAGACUAUAGUGAAGAUCCCAAAUCCCGUUUGGAGGUUUCCCGGAUUCAGGAGGGAAUUAGCAGGAAAUACCGAAUCCUCCAACCAGGAUUUCUGGAAAAACAGGGAUUUUAUUGACAUUUUCUAGAAUUUGUAACCUUACUCAUGUCCUCUGUCUGUCUGUCUCUGUGUCUCUGUCUGUCUAUCUGUCUGUCUGUCUGUCUGCCUCCAUCUCUCUUCUUUGUCUUUCAUCUCCUGUCUCCAUCUCUUCUUUGACUUUCAUCUCCUGUCUCCAUCUCUCUUCUUUGUCUUUCAUCUCCUGUCUCCAUCUCUCUUCUUUGUCUUUCAUCUCCUGUCUCCAUCUCUUCUUUGUCUUUCAUCUCCUGUCUCCAUCUCUCUUCUUUGACUUUCAUCUCCUGUCUCCAUCUCUCUUCUUUGUCUUUCAUCUCCUCCAUCCAUCUGUUUCUCUCAGUGGUGUCAUCUCGUCCUCGUCACCUCUCUCUAAAGCGGUUCUCUCUGUUCUCCAGGUUGCCAGAGUUCCGCUCCCCAUCACACAUCAGUGGUUG